UACGUAGGGUGCGAGCGUUAAUCGGAAUUACUGGGCGUAAAGCGUGCGCAGGCGGCGCGUUAAGACAGGUGUGAAAGCCCCGAGCUUAACUUGGGAAUUGCGCUUGUGACUGGCGAGCUGGAGUGUGGCAGAGGGAGGUGGAAUUCCACGUGUAGCAGUGAAAUGCGUAGAGAUGUGGAGGAACACCGAUGGCGAAGGCAGCCCCCUGGGUCAACACUGACGCUCAUGCACGAAAGCGUGGGGAGCAAACAGG
rnacentral:rRNA from 1 species